UGAGGAAUAUUGCGCAAUGGCCGAAAGGCUGACGCAGCGACGCCGCGUGAAGGAUGAAGUUCGUUAGAAUGUAAACUUCUUUUGUAGGGGAUGAAUGUUCCGUUUUACGGAAUUGACCGUACCCUGCGAAUAAGGAUCGGCUAACUACGUGCCAGCAGCCGCGGUAAUACGUAGGAUCCGAGCGUUGUCCGGAAUUACUGGGUGUAAAGGGCGUGUAGGUGGGUCUCUAAGUCGGUGGUGAAAUCUUGCAGCUCAACUGUAAAAUUGCCAUUGAUACUGGAGGUCUUGAGUGCGGCAGAGGGAAAUAGAAUUCAUGGUGUAGCGGUGAAAUGUGUAGAUAUCAUGAAGAAUACCGGUAGCGAAGGCGGUUUCCUGGUCCGUAACUGACACUGAGGCGCGAAAGCGUGGGGAGCAAACAGG
rnacentral:rRNA from 1 species